UUAUCGAGGGGGAAAAAGGGGAAUAUUCAUAAUCAUAGGCAAACUGCCUCUAGACCUUUGUAUUCCUCCUGGCUCUCUCUCUCUCUCUAGCAACAAUCCAAAGGUCCCAGUCAACGCGGACGGCCAAAUAACCCCUCUCAUAACUUUCCAGGAAAAAGCUCCCAAACAAACACAAAGCAAAGCAUCCUCUUUCCUUUCCUUUGCUUUCCUUUUUAAUCUCGUCAGCACAAAUACUUAAAACCCAAAUCUUCAAUUAAAUAAAUCUGUCAAUAAAUUCACAUCUCCAAAGAUGCCAUCAGAGAUUGAGAUAGUAGAGGAAGAUGUGGUGGCCCAAUCCAACGAUCGAGAAUCAGCAGCUGUUAAUGGAGGCAUUAGUAAUAAUGGGGUUGCUGUUGCUGGAGAAGACAGCUUGAGAAAUGAUGUUUACACAGCAGCUGCUUAUGGAGAUUUAGAGAAGCUUCAGAGAUUGGUUGAGAGUGAAGGAUGUUCUGUUUCUGUACCUGAUAACCUUGGUUAUUAUGCUUUACAGUGGGCUGCUUUGAAUAAUCGCACGGCUGCUGCUCAGUAUAUUAUCGAGCAUGGAGGAGAUGUAAAUGUGGUUGAUCAUACAGGCCAGACAGCAUUGCAUUGGACUGCAGUCCGGGGUGCAAUUCAAGUUGCUGAGCUGUUGCUACAAGAGGGUGCGGGGGUAAAUGCCGCCGAUAUGUAUGGCUAUCAGACAACUCAUGUUGCAGCUCAAUAUGGUCAGACAGCUUUUCUCUAUCACAUUGUCUCAAAAUGGAAUGCUGACCCCGAUGUUCCUGACUUUGAUGGAAGAAGCCCUUUACACUGGGCUGCUUAUAAAGGUUUUGCUGAUUCUAUACGCCUUCUAUUGUUUCUGGAUUCUUAUAGAGGACGCCAAGAUAGAGAGGGAUGCACUCCUCUCCAUUGGGCUGCUAUUAGGGGUAACUUGGAGGCAUGCACAGUGCUAGUACAGGCUGGAAAGAAAGAGGACUUGAUGGUGACUGAUAACACUGGCCUUACUCCAGCGCAGCUUGCUUCUGACAAAAAUCAUCGACAAGUUGCUUUUUUCCUAGGAAAUGCUAGAAGGUUGCUUGACAAACAAUGUGAUGGGAACGACCGCCUGGGACGCCUCUCAAAGUUGGGGCUUGCACCUGUGUUGUGGUUCAUAAUUAUACUUCUCCUGUUGAUCUAUGUUAAUUCUGUCAUCCUGGCUUCAAAUCUGCCAAAGUUAACAGCUGGCUUUGGCCUUCUUGCCUGGCUUGCUGUUUUCCUGGCUACUGGUGGACUAGUUAUGUUUUAUAGAUGUAGCAGGAAGGAUCCAGGUUACAUUAGAAUGAAUGUGCAUGAUCCACAGAAUAUGAAAGAUGAUGAGCCACUUUUGAAGAUUGAGAUAAACAACCCUGCUUUGCUAGCUGGGAAUUGGUCUCAGCUCUGUGCAACAUGCAAGAUUGUCAGACCUCUCCGUGCAAAGCACUGUUCCACAUGUGAUCGAUGUGUUGAACAAUUUGAUCAUCAUUGCCCUUGGGUAUCUAACUGUAUUGGCAAGAAAAACAAAUGGGAAUUCUUUGCAUUUCUUGUUCUAGAAGUUUCAGCAAUGUUGAUAACUGGUGCAGUGACUCUCACAAGAGUUCUGACUGAUCCAUUUGCUCCGUCUUCACUGGGAGCAUGGGUAAACCAUGCUGGCUCUCAUCAUAUUGGUGCUAUAUCAUUUUUGAUUAUGGACUUCUUCCUCUUCUUUGGCGUGGCAGUAUUAACUGUUGUACAAGCUUCUCAGAUAUCUCGCAAUAUAACAACCAAUGAAAUGGCAAAUGCACUGCGGUAUAGCUACCUUAGGGGCCCAGGGGGCCGCUUCAGAAACCCAUAUGAUCAUGGCUGUAAAAAGAAUUGCUCAGAUUUCUUGAUCAAUGGUUACAAUGAAGAUGUGGAUUAUAAUGAAGAUUCUCCACAUUCUGAGGGGAUUGGAAUGAUGCACAUGUCGAGGAAUUCAAACUUGCAAAAUGGGGAUGCUCAUUCUCAUCACAUGAAUGGCAAUGGCCAUGUGGCUAUCAAUGUGAAUUCAGAAAAUAAAAUCCCUCAGGGUCAUGUCCAUUCUUCCCAUUGCAGCCAUAAUCACCAAGGGAAGCCAAGAACAGAUAGCGCACCCUUGGGUUUGGGUGGUCUUGGUCUUGGAAAAAGCAGUGCCCGAACAGUUGAAGCUUCAUGAUGGUGUGAUACUAGCUGAAAUUGAUAUGUUUUGUAUCAUAAACGCAUAUGAUAUACCAUUUGUAAUUUGAUUGAUUGCUGCUCUUUUUUGCCCCCCAAAGGUGUUCAAUUUUUGUACAAAUUUGGCCUCUUAAAUAUUUGUAGCGGCUGUUAGUGAGUAUCAGAUCUAGCAUGUAAUCUCGUGAAAGUUAAAAGACGUGGGCACAGUACUACAGAGAGAGAACUAUUGCUCAAGAUCUUCAUUUUCCAGAGCUGCACCCUAUUUCAUGGAUUACAGCUUUUUUGGGGUUUUCCUAUCCGAAAAGCAGCAGUUCUGUAUGUACCACUAGCCAUCUAAUUUUUGUUACUUCUUUGACUUCAUGUGGUUCCCCACGAACAGUCCCCAAUUGGGGAGUAAUUUGAGGCAUCCUAUUCCCAUGGAUUUAGUCAAA